ensembl:lncRNA
CACAAGACACACAGGCACACACACUCCCUGGCCCCUGGAGGACCAACAUCAAGUGCUAGCUUUAUUUAAAUGACAUCCGUCUGCACAGUAACCCUCCAUUCAAGGGAUUAAAUUAAACAAGGUGUGUGUCCAGUGUAAUAUUGCAUUGUAUUCUGCAUUGGCAGAAUAUUAUAAUUUCUCAUUUCUUAUACCGAUCCUGUCAGUUGGUGGAUUUCAGAAAGAACAUAUCUAUCAGAUGUUUUAUGUAUAAAAAAAACAUCAAUGAAAAGGCAAAAGAAGCACACAGGGUCAAAGGAGAAAGCAGAUUAGCUGACGGAGUUGAAAGCAGAUUGGCUGACAGAGGUGAGGGCUGUUUGCGCUAUCCAAAACCGCAACCUGAGCCACAAAACCUCAGACACACACACCCACAGGUAUUUGUCGAAUUGGGACACUAGCAAUCCGCAAAACGUUUUAAGUACCCUACACAUCAAUGUGGAAAAGACAAAGGAGCUGAUCAUCAAUGGCACCAACUUACCAAGUCCCAACCACUCUUCCUGAACGACCAACCAGUGGAGGUGGUUGAGUGUUUUAAAUACCUAGGGAAACUAAUUGAUAACACGAGUUUUUCAGAGAAUGCAGACUAUUUUUUUUUAAGCUAGCCAAUGCCUGUUCUUAAUCAGGAAAUUAAAGGGGUUUGGGGUCAGCAAGGAUGUUCUGGAGAGGGUGUACAGCAGCUUGUUGGAGAGCAUCCUCACUUUCAAUAUGACAGUCUGUUAUGGUAAUCUGACUAUGAGGAGCCAAAGUAAACUGACCAGAAUAGUAAACACAGCCAGCAAAGUAAUUGGUCGACCACAGGCACAUUUGAACAUUCUAUUCCACAAGGCAACCAAAAAGAAGACACUGGCUGUCGUUGGAGACCCUUCCCACCCUCUACACCCUCAGUUGGAGACCCUUCCCACCCUCUACACCCUCAGUUGGAGACCCUUCCCACCCUCUACACCCUCAGUUGGAGACCCUUCCCACCCUCAACACCCUCAGUUGGAGACCCUUCCCACCCUCGACACCCUCAGUUGGAGACCCUUCCCACCCUCGACACCCUCAGUUGGAGACCCUUCCCACCCUCUACACCCUCAGUUGGAGACCCUUACACCCCUGGAGACCCUUCCCACCCUCUACACCCUCAGUUGGAGACCCUUCCCACCCUCUACACCAUCAGGUGGAGACCCUUCCCACCCUCUACACCCUCCGGUGGAGACCCUUCUCACCCUCUACACCCUCAGGUGGAGACCCUUCCCACCCUCUACACCCUCAGGUGGAGACCCUUCCCACCCUCUACACCCUCAGGUGGAGACCCUUCCCACCUUCUACACCCUCAGGUGGAGACCCUUCCCACCCUCUACACCCUCAGGUGGAGACCCUUCUCACCCUCUACACCCUCAGGUGGAGACCCUUCCCACCCUCUACACCCUCAGGUGGAGACCCUUCCCACCCUCUACACCCUCAGGUGGAGACCCUUCCCACCCUCUACACCAUCAGGUGGAGACCCCCAGAGUACCCAUGGCCAAGUAGAAUGUGUUCAAACAUUCAUUUGUUCCUCGUUCCGCUGUAGGACUACUAAAUGCUAAGUCAGUUGUGUCUGUAUAUGUACUUAUCUAUCUAGGGCAGUUGGGACAGCGGUCUGUUUUGAGUGAAUGUAUCAAUGUCCUCUAUGUUGUUAGUGUACAACAUGAUGGACUGACUGGUUUAGAUGUGUAUGAUGUGAGAAUGUACAGUACAUGUAUGUGAUUAUUUUAAUGGGUGGUGAUGCCAAAGAGAAAUGUUUAUCCUGGAUGGACAAUAAAGUUUUCUAUUCUAUUAGCUAUCAUAUUUUAAUUCCACUGAUUUCAAAACGUGAUCCUCCAGAAAGUGGAGAACAACACUUAUGCAGCUUCACUACACAAUACAUUAAAUUAAAGCUGCGUUCCACACGAUUAGCAACACAGACUGACCGGCUCAAAUAGACAGAAACAAUCUGUAUGGCAGACCAAUCUGAACUCCUCUCUCUGCAUGUCCAGCCCACUCAUUAUGUCAGCCAAUCAUGGCUAGUAGGAAGGUUGCUGGCUUCUCUGUGGCUUAACCAACAAGUCUCAUAAUUUAACAAUUGUAUUCAUAUUUACAGAUGGCAUACAAGUUUGUUAUUAAGACACAUGUAAGUUCACAUGGCAACAAAAAAAGGCAUUUUGAUGAAAAAAACAAUGCUGAG